GACGAACGCUGGCGGCGUGCUUAACACAUGCAAGUCGAACGGUGAAGCCCAGCUUGCUGGGUGGAUCAGUGGCGAACGGGUGAGUAACACGUGAGUAACCUGCCUCUGACUCUGGGAUAAGCCUUGGAAACGGGGUCUAAUACUGGAUACGAGACGCUCGGGCAUCCGAAGUGUCUGGAAAGAUUUAUCGGUCGGAGAUGGACUCGCGGCCUAUCCGCUUGUUGGUGGGGUAAGGGCCUACCAAGGCGACGACGGGUAGCCGGCCUGAGAGGGCGACCGGCCAGCCUGGGACUGGUACACGGCCCAGACUCCUACGGGAGGCAGCGAUGGGGAAUAUUGCACAAUGGGCGCAAGCCUGAUGCAGCGGCGCCGCGUGAGGGAUGACGGCCUUCGGGUGGUAAACCUCUUUCAGCAGGGAAGAAGCGAAAGUGACGGUACCUGCAGAAGAAGCGCCGGCUAACUACGUGCCAGCCGCCGAAGUAAUAC
rnacentral:rRNA from 1 species